AUGGCAGAGAUGCUCACAGGUGACAGGAUUUUCCGGGCCGCCGAAUUCAUAUCUCUCUUCCAAAGGAUCUUCGAAGUGGUGGGCAUGCCGGACGACACGACGUGGCCGGGGUUCACGUCGCUGCCGCACGCCGCCCCGCCGCCGCUGGUGCCGGGGCAGCAGAGCAUGCUGCGAGAUCUGUUCCCGGAGGAGGUGCUGUCCGCGGAGGGAUUCCAGGUCCUCAACGGCCUUCUUACAUGCAACCCCGACAAGCGGCUGACGGCGGCCGCUGCGCUGAAGCUCCCGUGGUUCGCCGCCGCUGCUGCAAAUGCCCGCUCUUCUGCUCCUACUGCUGAUGGUUUGGCUUCUCGAUGA
rnacentral:rRNA from 1 species